ACACAUAAAAUUUAAGUUUCAAGGAAAAAGAGUAUUAUAAUUGUACAUAUUGUGGUUUCGAUGAAUAUAAGUAUUGGUACCAGGUGAAACCAAUGACUAUAUGCAAGUGUACCACUACAACACUAAUGUAUUACAAUUCUGUUCUAAAUGUUUGAUGAGAUUAUAGCUUAGUGACAUUAAUGAAUAAAUUCUAGAUACACCAAAUCUAUACAACCAUGUUGUUGGGUUACCUAGUUCACCAAACACGUAAAUAGAAAAAUUAUAUCACAAACGUAGUUUUCUUUACCAAAAUUCAGAGUUACAAUGGUAGUUCUACCUCCUCUAAUAAGAAAACAACUUUAUUUAUCAUUUCGGGUGAAAAAUGCAAUAAUCCGUGAGAUUCUUGUUCAAAAUGGCCAUCUCAACAAACUCAUCACUCCACUCAACCUGCCACCAGCCGGCUAGAGUAUUAGACGCGUGUUAAUUAAUGAUAUACAUCGAUAAAUCAUAUACACAAGUGUACAAGUAGUGACGCACCAUUUGUAAAUAUCUAAUCUUGGAAUAAACUCAUACAUUGAUACAUCAUUAUAGUCAAGAUUUGGACAUUUGAUUGCAUGCACUUAAAAUAUAGUAUAAAUUAUUUUUAUUAUAAGACAAAAUUUCUCUAGUUUUUUUACCAAGUUAACAAAACUAGUCACGUCAGCAGUAACACUGAAAAUAUGAAUUUCAAGGUAUGUCUAAUAUAAAAUUUGAUGUUUGAGAUGCUUGUUCAUUACGGAAUACUUUUUAAAAUUGAUGCUUCUAAAAUUAGAGGAAUCUAACUCUAAAAAAACUAAAACAAUAUAGUACACACCCGUCACAAAAUGAUUAUAAUUCUCGUAUUGUAAUAAGGUAAUUGAUUUCAAAUUUGGUUAAAUAUAUACAAAAAUGCAAUAAUACUAUGGGAAAAUUAGGCAUCAUUGCAUUAAUCUUUGAAUAUACACUCUCCAUCCUAAAAAAAUUAUAAUUAUAUAUUUAAAAUUUAUCCUAAAACAAAUACAUUUCUAGAUAUUCUGCAUCUCGUUCAAGUAAGUCUUUAAAACUUUCUCUAUUUAGCUUGUUCGUUUGAGCUUAUCUACAUUUAUUUUAGAAGUGCAUUUAUUUUGAGAUAGAAGAGGUAUUUUUAUAAAUCUAUUGAAAAAUAUAAAUAUAAAUAUUAUGUUUUAUAAUAAACCUACUCACGUUUGACUAGUUAGCUUAGGUCCUUUUUUUUACGGUGCUUAGGUCAUCUCUUUUUUUUUCCCUGGACGAUGGAUGCGCAAGUGAAAACAGAUGAGGUGUUCACUGUCAGUGCAGACGCGUAGUACUAGUACAGUACUGUAGUUUAACAGCAUCGCACAUGGUAUGGUGGCAGCAUGGCAAUGCCAGUGCGGAGAGUCGAGGAGGGAGGAGGCGUGAACAGUAGGUAAAAGUUUUUGGUUUCGCAUAUAUUUAAUAAAUAUUAUUUAAUUAUAAAUUAAUUAUAUUUAAAAGAUCUGUCUUAUAAAUUAUAGAUAAAUUAUGUAAUUAGUUUUUAUUUUAUUUAUAUUUAAUGUGUUAUAAGAUUCGAUAUUAGGGAAAAUCUUGUGGCACAUUCAUGAAGCGUGAAAUAUAAACGAAAACAAAAACUAAUUGGACAAUUUAACUAUCACGAGAUAAAUCUUUUUGAGUCUAAUUAGUCUAUAAUAAUUUUUAAAUAAAAAAAAAUGUUAUAAUACUAAAACCAAAAAGAAAAUUAGAAGUAAACAAGGUUACCGGCUACAGCCACAUCCUUGUCCUUGCUGCCGUCGUCCCGCCCGCAGCAGCCGCCGCGGAGGUGAGAAGGUCGUCUCACGUCUCGUGGUCCGUGCACCGCCGCAGACGGGGCGUCUUAGCGUCCGGCCGCUCGGACGGCAAUCGUGGGCCGAUAUAUUUUCCCGCGUAGUCACUUUCCCGCCCACCAGACUAUGGCGCACGAGAGGAUGGCACGCGCGGAACAGAUCACGGAUCACCAGUAUGCAUGUAGUGCUGACGUCAUACGUUUUUACCAACUAAAAAAAGUUAUAGAUGCUAAAUCAAACAUUCAAAUUAAAUUUUGAUUACACCAUUAGAUUUCUUAUAAUAAAUCCUUUAAAACAAGAUCUCACAUGAAUAUAUUUAGAUAAAAUUUUAUUGGCGAACAUUUGUCUUAUGAAGAUAGAAUUUUUUUUUUAUUAAAUAGAGACGAUGUUCUAGGUUUAGAAAACAAUGUUCCGUCUUUGAAACAAAAAUGUUCUCAAUUUAGAAAAACAAUGUUCUAAUUUUAGAUAAACAAAUAAAUAAAUGCAUAUCAUAAAUAAAAAAAAUAAAAUGUAGACCAAAGCAUGAAAACAAAAAUGUAAGAAAACGCAAUAGAGAAAAUUAAAAAGAAUAUCACGUGGAUAAUUUUCAAACAUCCUAAAAUAGACUAUAGAAUAUCAUAUGUAUAACAUUAGGGUAAGUAAACUAUUAAAUAUAUUAUAAAUGUGAACAUUAGUAAAUACACUAUAAAACAUCACGGGUAUACUUGAACAUCACAAAAAACACUAUAAAACAUCACAUGUAUACUACGAGAACAUCACAUGUAGAUUACGCGAACAUUACAAAAUACAUCAUAGAACAUUACAUAUAUACCACGUGAAUAUAAAAAAACACAUAUAUAACACAUGAACAUAAAAAAAGCACAUAUAAACUAUAUAAAAUAUUAAAAAUCCAACAUAGAACAUAAAAAAAGAAAAAGAAAAGAAAUAAAUGAAAAAAAAUAUAACAAUGAAAAUAAUUGUAAACAAAUAAGAAAGAAGUAGAAAAAUAUAAAAGGUAUAGAAUAUGAAAAAAGACAUAUAUAACACAUGAACAUAAAAAAAAGCACAUAUAAACUAUAUAAAAUAUUAAAAAUCCAACAUAGAACAUAAAAAAAAGAAAUAAAAGAAAAGAAAAGAAAAAAUAUACAAUGAAAAUAAUUGUAAACAAAUAAGAAAGAAGUAGAAAAAGAUAAAAGGUAUAGAAUAUGAAAAAAGAAAAAUAAAAAAGAAAAGAAAAAAUACCAAGAAAAGAAAAUAAAAAAAUAUCAAGAAAAGAAAAGAAAACUAAACAACAGCGAUCAGGAGGGGAAAAGAAAAGGAAAACAAAAAGAAACAAAAUAAGAAGAAAAGAAAAAAAAUAUAUUAUAGAACAUUAGUAAUACACCAUAGAACAUCACUACAUAUAUUAUAGAACAUCACAUAUAUAUUAAACGAACAUCACUAAAUAUAUCAUAGAACACCACAUGUAUACUAAAGUGAACAUCACUAAUACAUUGUAGAACAUCACAUGUAUACUGCAAGAACAUCCCAUAUAUAUUACAUAGACAUCGCAAAAUAGAUCACAGAAUAUUACAUGUAUACCACAUGAACAUAAAAAAGCAUCAUAGAACAUCAAAUAUAUAUCAUGUAAACAUAAAAACAACGCAUUAUGUAUACUACAUAAACAUAGAAAAUAACAUAUAAUAUCGAAAAAAUAUAUAAAAAUAAUAGUAAAAAAAAUAAAAAGUAUGAAAAUAAUAAUAAUAAUAAACACAUAAAAAUAAAUAAACAAACCUAAAAGAUAAGAAAACAUGAAUCAAAGAAAAAUAUUUUAAAAAGAAAACAAAUAAAGAAAAAUAAAAUGAUAAAAACAUGAUUAACAAAUGAUGAAUAUAUAGAACAAAUAAAAUAAAUGAUUAACUUAAAUAAGAACCAAAAAAGGAAAUUAAAAAGAAAGAAAGAUUAAAAUAAGAAUGAAAGCAUAGAAUACUCAAAAAGAAAAGAAAAGGUAGAAUAAAUAGAGGCAAGCAAAAACAACAAAAAAUCAAAAGAAAAAUAAAAAGUAAAAAUAAAUAGGAAAAGAAUAAAAAAAGAAAACGUAAUACAAUAAAAAUAAAAACAUAGAAAACAAAAAAGAAUAAAAUAAAAAAUAAAUAGAAGCAAUGAAAAAAAAAAUAAAGAGAGAAAAAAGAAAGAGAAGAGAAAACAAAUGUGAAAAGAAAAUUGAAAAAAAGAAAGAAUACAUAUGAAACAAAAGUAAAAAAAUUGAUGCAUGGAAAGAAUAGUAAUAGUAAGAAAAAGAAAAGGAAAAAAGAAAAGAAAAGAAUAAUAAAAAGUCACAGAAAUCAAAAAGAAAAUAAAAAUAAAAAUAAAUGAAGCAUGGAAAGAAAAAGAAAAAGAAAAAAGAAAAGAAAGUAAAUGGAAAGAAUAUAAUAAAAAAGAAAAAAAAAGAGAAGCUUACCUACCUGGCUCGUCGCUUCCCGCCGCGUGGGUCGUGGCUUGGGCGGGAAUUGCCUUGCGCUCGCGUUGUGGGUUGGGCGGGAAUCAUCGGACCGUGGUUUCUGUCCGAUCGUUCGGACGGGAAGAUUCCGGCCGCAGACCACCAUGACCACUGCGGUGCGGCAGCCGGCACCCCGCAGGCAUGCAGCGCGCGAGUCAAGGCAACCGCCCUUUGACAGUGGAGUCCUGGGCUUGGGCCGAUUCGGCCGCCCGGCCCAUGUUUUCCCCCUACUCGUGUCGUGUCACGGUCAUUUCCUCUUCUGCGAUGCAGCAUGUGCGACUGCGAGCUCCUACCACUACAAGUAGUCGGUAUGGGCGUAGUACGUACGGUACGGCCGAUCCGAGCAGACGCUCAGAGCAACGGACGGAAUACAUGGAGUACUGCUUUGGGCCACGCAGGAACCACCGUGACGUCGACGCGCCAAUGCACGUGGCAUAAUAGAGUGACACCGUGCUACUAAGGUAGUAUUGUUUUGAUCUAUUUUUUUUAUUUUUUGAUAUUAUAUCACUUUCGUUUUUAUUUGACAAACAUUGUCCAAUUAUAGAGUAACUAGACUUAAAAGAUACUUCUCGCGAUUUACAGGCAAACUGUACAAUUAGUUUUUUUUAAUACUUCAUGCAUGUACCGCAAGAUUCGAUGUGACGGAGAAUCUUGAAAAGUUUUUGGUUUUUGGGAUGAACUAAACAAGGCCU
rnacentral:lncRNA from 1 species